UACGGGGGGGGCAAGCGUUGUUCGGAAUUACUGGGCGUAAAGGGCGCGUAGGCGGCUCUUCAAGUCAGCCGUGAAAUCUCCGGGCUUAACCUGGAAGGGUCGGUUGAUACUGUCGAGCUAGAGUGUGGAAGAGGCAACUGGAAUUCCGUGUGUAGCGGUGAAAUGCGUAGAUAUACGGAGGAACACCUGCGGCGAAGGCGGGUUGCUGGGCCAACACUGACGCUGAGGCGCGAAAGCCAGGGUAGCAAACGGG
rnacentral:rRNA from 1 species